AAAAAAAACAAAAAAUUAAUAAUCGCGCAUUCUCUCUCUAUAUAUACUUCGAUCUUCUCUGAAACUUCUCCGUCAAUCUUCUUUCUUCGUUCGAUCUGUAAAUCUCUGUCGAUCUUCUUCUUUGUUCGAUCUGUAAAUCUCCGGCGAUCUUCUUCUUCUUCGAUCGGCUCAGGUAGAAUUCGAACUCAAUUAACUCUUACUUUAGGUUAAAAUGUGUUGAAUUUGAUAUGUGUUUCUAAUCAUUUUGUUCUAUUUAAUUUCUUUUCAUCGAACUAAAGACCUAGAUUUUCGCUACGGAAUUGAGGGUUCAAUUUGCUAAACAGUGAUGGAUUCAUCUCUCUUCCUUUGAUCUGGAUUGCUUAGUAAGUUCAUCUCUCUUCGAAUUUUGGAUCUCAUGCUCUAUAAUAUGCUCUUUAGAUCGAUUAGCGCAGUAGUGAUGAAUUCUGAUAAUGUGUUCAAUUUGUAUGUUUUAGGUCUAAAUUUGGUUCUUAAGCUUCCAAAUAAUCUCAAUUAGUUUAUUUUGAUGAUAAAAAGAGUGAUAAUUAGUAUAAUG
rnacentral:lncRNA from 1 species